GGGUGAGUAACGCGUAUCCAACCUGCCCAUCACAAGGGAAUAACCCGUCGAAAGUCGGCCUAAUGCCCUAUGUAUUCCGAUGAAGUCCUCUGAAUCGGAAUAAAGCAUUUGCGGUGAUGGAUGGGGAUGCGUCUGAUUAGCUUGUCGGCGGGGUAACGGCCCACCGAGGCGACGAUCAGUAGGGGUUCUGAGAGGAAGGUCCCCCACAUUGGAACUGAGACACGGUCCAA
rnacentral:rRNA from 1 species